rnacentral:lncRNA from 1 species
UUGGCCCCACUGUGCACCACACACUCCUUUCCCAGCCCAGGGGCACGCGAACAAAAUGAGGCUCAAGCUGACCAGGCCGAGCCGGAGGAACGCUGGGGCUUGGCAGCAGAAGGGAUGGGACCAGAGAGAAGGGUGUGGAGGAGACCCCAGUGAGGGCCAGGACAUUUCAGGUAAAGAGAGGUCAUAUCUCCGUACCUCACUUCCUGACACAAACAAGUUUUCACUGUUGUCAGCAACAAAGCCCUAAUAUAGCUGCGGAAGAGAAAAACUGCAUUGCAUUUUGCCUCCUGCAAGCAUCAUCAACAGUUACUGGAGGAACGUAAUUCCAGAAAGCUUGAAAGCCGUGGUGAUGGUAAUUAUGUAUCAAAUGCCUGGUUCUAUUUCUGUUAUUAUUGUUUUGUCAUUUCUGUUUUCCCAGCGAUCUGACUGAACUCGCAGAGGGACAAAUCCAGUUUUUCUUUUUGACUUUUGUCAAACUAAAUCAGGCCUGAUAGAAAACUCAUUGCUCUCCGGGGAAACAAAGUAGGAGCCACGAAAUGUCAUUUUAACAGAGCGUGGGUUUGGUGACUGUAGGAAAGGAUUUGAGGACGCUCCUUCUGUUCGGCUUCCUAUGUCAUGAGCACAGGCUCCACGCACGCACAGACACCACGGCUCCCGGAUGCUGUGGCUCCCCGAUCGGGGCUCCUGCAGCGCCAGAAGCCCCUCCGGGAUGCUUCGAGGGGCUCCCGGUGGGUGGAGGUACGGACGCCGCUGCGGCCGCCGCCGCCAGUCCUGCUGCUGUUGUUGCUGCUGCAGUCACGUGGGAGCCCCUUUAAGUUUCCAUAGAGAGGCCUCUCUGGUGUCACAUGAUGGACAUGAUAUAAUGAAACAACAUUGUGGAGAGGAAAGCAUUAGGGGAGCCCACGGCUACAAAAACAAGUGAGUGAGAAGAGGUGGGAGGAAGAGAAACUACGCCACCUCCCCUGCAGCCGAGUGCACGCAGCAGCCUGGCGUGACAAGUGGGCGACGCCGGGGGGCAGGGAGCCGGGGUCCUUGGCCCUGGCCGGGGACCCCACCGCCCACCGCGCGGAGGACAACUUUUAGCCGGCAGCCCAGACCAGCGCGGCACCUGUCUCCGGAGUCUCCACCGCUCCUCCCGAUUCAUCCCAGGGAAAUUCUCAAGAAUACGCUCUACAAAUCUACGUGCGCAUCAUUUUCACCUCGCGUCGCGCCCGGGAGGAAGGAACGAGGCAAGGAGCUAAAGCAGCGUGCGUUCAGCCCUGGGGCAUUUUAUUAAUGCUUUUACGAGUUAGAAGAGUUGGGAUAAUUUGCCAUCUGGAGUUUCUCUGCCUUGCUGAUCUGAGCUCAGACCUGCCAAUUUACCAGAGAUAAUUGAUAACACCCUGUAACAGCUGAGAGGAAAAUGGAAGAAACGGAGAUACUUUUAGUGAAGCAGAAUAAACCACUGAACAGGAAAAAUGAGGAAGCUGUGAGUACCAGUGGAAGGAACGAGCCAGGAAGAGGGACUGGAACCAUCUCAGAAGCCAUGCCCCUCAGGCUGGAACUUGCCCUGUCUCCUCGCAGAUGAGCUACCUCUUGUGUUUAAGAAUUAAAGGAAGAUGAGCUAGGAAUCAAGAAAUACGCAGAACUGAUUCCUGUCACUGGCGCCACCCUGCCACUUGCCCAGAGCUGUGGUAUAAAUUUUUUUAAUAGGCUGAAAUAAAAAUAUGAAUAGCAUUUUGGUAUUAAGCAUUAAAUUGAUAAAGGCUAUGAGAUACACCUGCUCUCAACCAUGUUAAUUUUUUAUUAUUGGUAUUAAUAAAUUAUUACUUACUAACAUAUUAACAAGAAUUGCAUUGAGAAACAAAGCAUCCACAGGCCAAAUCUUCUGAAUUUCAAAUGUUUAUAUUAAUGCGUUGUAUUCUAGAAAAGUAGAAUUGUCUUAAGUAGCUUUGUAAUAUAAAGUCAUCUAUCAGCCCAUUACACCUAUUAGAAUGUUUUAACCUUUAUUUCCCACUUUUUUGUUUCUAGACUGAGUGUACUUGGUCUGGUAUUUGUGGCAUAACUUACGGAACACAUAAGAAUGAUACAGAUACUAUUUAAUGAUGACCUAAUACAAGCUUAGAUAGCUAAGGUGAAAGCUUCUAUGGCCUUAACAUUUUCCUCUUGAAGAAUGUAUUUUCUGUAAUAAAAUACAGUGGCUACUUGAAAUCUAUAAACUUAUGUGAGGUCUGGAUAAAUCUGAGCAACUUUCUUCUUUGUGCUCCAGGAACCUACGCACUAUAUAUAUAAAUAAAGCUUAAGUAAACAUCACUGCAA